rnacentral:rRNA from 1 species
UAGGGAAUCUUCCGCAAUGGGCGAAAGCCUGACGGAGCAACGCCGCGUGAGUGAUGAAGGUCUUCGGAUCGUAAAACUCUGUUAUUAGGGAAGAACAAAUGUGUAAGUAAAUAUGCACGUCUUGACGGUACCUAAUCAGAAAGCCACGGCUAACUACGUGCCAGCAGCCGCGGUAAUACGUAGGUGGCAAGCGUUAUCCGGAAUUAUUGGGCGUAAAGCGCGCGUAGGCGGUUUUUUAAGUCUGAUGUGAAAGCCCACGGCUCAACCGUGGAGGGUCAUUGGAAACUGGAAAACUUGAGUGCAGAAGAGGAAAGAGGAAUUCCAUGUGUAGCGGUGAAAUGCGCAGAGAUAUGGAGGAACACCAGUGGCGAAGGCGACUUUCUGGUCUGUAACUGACGCUGAUGUGCGAAAGCGUGGGGAUCAAACAGG